AUUCACUCUGCCAUCCGUAAUCUUCCCUUGGAAGAAAAGUUAACACCAGCAGUUUCCCUCCAAUUAAAUGUAAAUUACGUUUUUUACUCUUCUUUUUCUAUUAACGGUCUGCAUGGUGGCCUGAUUCAAAUUAAUUCCCCUCAAUUUGCGGAUUCACCACUCUCAUUAUCUGAACGGCAGGAAGCUAUUUUAUUUUUUGAACGAGUGAUCUGGAACUUUCAGAUAGUUGAAUAUUUUAUAACUGUCAGUUGGUUGGAAUAUUUCAACACUGUUUGUUCUUCCUGACUCCCGUUUUCUCCCAGUUGGUGUGUUUGUGAAAGCACCACAUAAUGAAUACUGAGAACACUCAGUGUCCCCACAAAAAGGGCGACUUUGGAGCCAGACGCCCAGCAAUCCCAUGAUGCACUGCUUCAUUAUGUGUGUAGAAGAACACACCAGGGGAAAGGUUCAAUCAAAUCAUUUCCUGCAAAAUGCUGCCGGGAAGUCUCCUGUUUUUCCGAGAAUUCUAAGGGCACUCACCUUUGAUGAUUGGCUCAGAAGUAAACAGACCAAGGAGCAAACAGACUAAUCGGUGCUGACGGAACACUGGUGUGCGAACCCAAGAGCCCUUCUUCAAGCUCGGAAAGGCAUCGAUGGGCUUAACUGUUGAAAACAAGCACAAUGUAUCUGUUGCUAAACUGCUUCAUCACUGGGCACGCUCUGAUGGUUCUGGUGCUCUCCACGUGUAUCCAGUGUGACCAGUAUCAGUACCUGGAGAGGGGGGUUUUGGUUAUGGCAGGUACCUGCAGGUGGUCUCGGAGCAGGGUACCAGUCUGGAUACAGAGACCACAGUCACCUCAGGCAUUCAUCGCCAGUGACCGACUGUCAAACAACAGGAAACUAAAGCAACCGUGCCGAAAUUUUUAAAAAAUAAAACUGCCUUCGCAGCAUAACAGAAAUAGAUCUGCUGUAUGGACACUGCACUUUACCAAGCACCUUUUUCCGGCUCUCACCAACUACAAGGUACAUACACGGCCAUUUUACUGGGGCCUUCACCCACCCUGCUAGCUUUUUAAAGGAUUUUAAUGAGGCGGUUAGAAAAACGAGACCUGGAGACUGAUCUUAAUUACACGGAGCGAACGUUUAAUGUAGCAGGAUUUCAAAGAGCGCCAUUUCAAAAACACUACUGUGCUCUCGUGCGAAAGGACAAAAAUUCUGGGCAGCGGCAGGCUCCACAACUGAAGCGAAGCUGUUCAAUUCAGUUCAGUUCAAUUGGGUAUACUGGGUAUGCUUUUUACAGAGACAAUCUCACACAGAGAUGCAUUACAGAGGAAACAGAAAGGGAAAAUUGGGCAAACGCCAGACCAGGAACCCUCAAAAAGCAACCAAUUGAGGUUUAAAAAAAAAAAAAAAAAAAACCUCCCCAGUGGGAAGCAAAACACUCAGACGUAGGCGAGAAAAAAAAAAGCUCCCCAACGGGAGUUGCAGGGGGAGGGAAAGAGUGAAAUAACCACUUUAUAUCACACAAAUACAUGGAAUUCUAGCGCAAUAAGAGCACACUGGCGGCUGCUCUUAGCACUUACGUGGGCUGGGCAGCUCUGCUUGGGCACCCCUCUCUGGUGCUGCAGCCUGUAAUCUGUUAUACACUGGGAGACAGAGGGGAAGCUAUCAGCUCUCCUGUGAGCACCGCUGUCCAACUAACACGGCUACUUUCAUAAGACCCAUUCUGCAGGAUACAAUGUCUUCGAAAAGCAUUCAGACCCCUUCAGACCUACAGCCAUAUUAAAUUGAUUAAAUUCACUUAUAUUCACUUAUGUACACACAAUACCCCAAAAUGAUAAAGCGAAAAUAGGUUUUUAGAAAUUUUUGCAAAUUCAUUAAAAAUAAAAAACUGAAAUAGAAAAGGGGUCUGAAUAUUUUCUGAAGGCAUUGUAUAAACAGUACAUAUUUAACCAAGGCUUGGGCCAAAUGUGCAUUUCAAAUACUUUUAACUCUUUAGAUGCUUGUGAGAUCUAAAGUUAGAAGUGCUUGUGAGACCCCUGCAAUUCCCUGAAAAUGUUUGUCAAAACACGUUACUAACCAAAAUGUGACAUCGUCUGGAAAAAUAAUUUGCAUUGAAUGUUAGGUGAAACUAUUACGUUUACGUUACGUAAAAAUAAUAUAUAAAUAUCACCUGGGUAAAAUAUGUAUUUGAAAUGCAUAUCUGCACUCAUGCAGGUCCUUCAAAAUCUUCUUCAAAACAUGUUACUAAUCAAAAUGUAUACAAAGUACUGGAAGUGCUGUUUCUUGCAGAGCUGUCCAGAAUGUGCCGGAAUGUUACCUGGGACAGAAGAGGUUCCCGUGUGCCUCCUGAGGGCGGACUGGGGGUCCUGUCUGUUCAUACCUGUGGAAUGCACACACACAUACGCGGGAUGGAGAAAGGACCGAAUGUACCCGUCGGGUUGUUCCUGCAGCUAGAAGUAAACUGAAGGAAACGGUGUCUGUGCUGUUUUCUGAGAGCAGUGAUGGUGUGGACGGUCAUCAUACCUUGAGCUGGCCACUGCACGGGUAAGCUUAGGGUCCGCCCUGAGAGAGAGAGAGAAAGAAAGAGAGUAUUUGGGUAUAUUAGUCCAGACAUGGACACAGAUCGAUAAAAAGUUUAAUUGAAAUUUAAAUGGGGAAAAAUCUGCCCAAGAACAUUUUUAAAAAAUCUAUCUGUCACUAUCUGCCGACAAUAGAAAUAGCAAAAAGCAGAUAAUAGAAACACACAAGUCAUGUGUGCUUAUACCCAACUUCAUGAGAUACUGCUCCUAAGAUGUUGCUACGCCUGAAGGCAUAGAGGGGAGAUUCCUGUUUAAUGUGAAAAGUAUAUACAUUCAUGCUUUUUCCAAGUUGCAAAAUCUUCAAGAUUUCAACUAUCAACUAACAUUUUAUUUGAGAAAUGUGGCAGGUUAGUACAUAUUUUUUCAGGUUUUUCUUAAAAGAGAAAAGCCAUUACUAUGUUCACCUUGCUUUUAUGUCCCAUAGUUUUUUGCCAAGUCUUUGAGAUUUAGAUUGUGGUGAAGGUUUGAUGGGAAUUGUAUUUAAAUUCUAAAUUGGAAGACCAGUUUUGCAGAGCACGAGAGCAUUUAGGAAAAGUUUAUUUUAUAUAAAAAGAAUCCAUCUAUAUUUGGUUGGAAUUCCACCACAAUAAACAUAAGUAGCAACAUAGGGAUUUAAUUGAGUGAGGUGAACAUUUCCUUUAAACUUCUUGGGACAGAAUAAACUGUACGCUCUUUCAUUUAACACCAUUUAAGAGACUGAGUGGUUUUGGAAACCGAGCGGAGAAACCUUGUUUUUGCUGUUGUUGCAGAAGUGCUGUAGCUAGUCAUUGCAUGGUGGUUAAAAAGACUGACAUCUUAAAGAGAAGGUUUUAACUUGCAGCCACGCUGGACGACCCAGUCUAUUUCAGAACAUAAGAAAUGUCAAACUCUGGGGACAGACUUUUAUUUUCAAACACUAUAUUCAAGUCUAAGAUAAAUAAAAGAACUGAGAAAUAAAACGGAUCUAAACAUGAAAAACAGACAAACAUCACUCCCCAAGGAAUAGGGCAUUGUUAAAAACGACAACAGCCCAAACAAAGAAAUUAUAAAAUAACGUAAACGUUCAUUGCUACAUUCUAUUGUUCGAUCUGUUAUCAUGAAGGUAAGUGAAGGUGUUCAAUAGAGUUUAAGAGAUUCAGAAAUGUUCUUUUGGGGUGAUUUCAAAACACACUUUCGGAUCCCUGAGAAUAUUCAAAUAAACAUCCUACCAAAGUAUAGUAUAUACCAAAGUACCAUACCAUACCAUAAACCAAAGUAUAGUAUAUAAAAUAAACACUUAG